rnacentral:rRNA from 1 species
CCUACGGGAGGCUGCAGUGGGGAAUAUUGGACAAUGGGGGCAACCCUGAUCCAGCCAUGCCGCGUGUGUGAAGAAGGCCCUCGGGUUGUAAAGCACUUUCAGUGAGGAAGAACGCCUGGUGGUUAAUACCCAUCAGGAAAGACAUCACUCACAGAAGAAGCACCGGCUAACUCCGUGCCAGCAGCCGCGGUAAUACGGAGGGUGCGAGCGUUAAUCGGAAUUACUGGGCGUAAAGCGCGCGUAGGUGGCUUGAUAAGCCGGUUGUGAAAGCCCCGGGCUCAACCUGGGAACGGCAUCCGGAACUAUCAAGCUAGAGUGCAGGAGAGGAAGGUAGAAUUCCCGGUGUAGCGGUGAAAUGCGUAGAGAUCGGGAGGAAUACCAGUGGCGAAGGCGGCCUUCUGGACUGACACUGACACUGAGGUGCGAAAGCGUGGGUAGCAAACAGGAUUAGAUACCCCGGUAGUC